AUUGAACGCUGGCGGCAGGCCUAACACAUGCAAGUCGAGCGGAUGAAGGGAGCUUGCUCCUGGAUUCAGCGGCGGACGGGUGAGUAAUGCCUAGGAAUCUGCCUGGUAGUGGGGGAUAACGUCCGGAAACGGGCGCUAAUACCGCAUACGUCCUGAGGGAGAAAGUGGGGGAUCUUCGGACCUCACGCUAUCAGAUGAGCCUAGGUCGGAUUAGCCAGUUGGUGGGGUAAAGGCCUACCAAGGCGACGAUCCGUAACUGGUCUGAGAGGAUGAUCAGUCACACUGGAACUGAGACACGGUCCAGACUCCUACGGGAGGCAGCAGUGGGGAAUAUUGGACAAUGGGCGAAAGCCUGAUCCAGCCAUGCCGCGUGUGUGAAGAAGGUCUUCGGAUUGUAAAGCACUUUAAGUUGGGAGGAAGGGCAGUAAGUUAAUACCUUGCCGUUUUGACGUUACCAACAGAAUAAGCACCGGCUAACUUCGUG
rnacentral:rRNA from 1 species